CCCACCUCUUCUUUCUGUAUCCACACUACCGUUAAACUGUCAUGAUGUGUAAAAACAAUAAAAAAACAGAUAUUUGAAAAAAAAAAAAAAGUAUCUGCUGCUAGUGUCUUGGUGUCAGAUACCCACAGUACACAUUCAGAGGUCUUGGGAGUCCAUCAGAGCCGUUUUGGCAGCACGAGGGGGACCUACAUGAUAUUAGGGAGGUGGUUUUAUUAAUGUGGCUGACCAGUGUAUAUAAAGUAAAGGUAAAACAAUCUAUCCCUCAAAUACAAUAUUCCAGCAAAAAAGAUAAAAUCAAUAUAGUUAAAUUUUAUACAUGUGUGUACAAUCAAAUAUAUAAACAAG